CUGGACUUAUGUUCAACGUGACCGUUGAGCCUUCACAAUGAAUUUGUCCUGUGAAAAGAUCAGUUGAUACGGAGCCUGGAUCCCAGAUUCUCACCACAGAGUGGGCGCUCGUUAUUUGCACAUCAGCAUCUAUGUCAUCAAUCUCUAGCAGCCACACUCACCCAGAUGAAGCUCCAAACCCAGGGCAUGAAUCUGAAUGCAUAUUGAGCUGAAACAGCUACAGUCAUUUUUUAACUGUGAGGGGAGAAUCUGAGAAUCUGAGAAGAUGAGAAUGGAGCCAAGAUAGCAUAAAGUGGAUCCAAGAAAUGGAGAGAAAGAAAGUGGCAAAGCUCAUGAUUUCUCUUCUUUACUGAGUACGUAGAAACUGCUAUACACACUUUGUCAGGAAUAUUGAGUGACAUAGAUGAGCACAUUAAUGGAGAGGGUGAG